rfam:Schistosoma rodhaini strain Burundi genome assembly, scaffold: SROB_scaffold0000181
UCACAGCUAAUGAGUCCCAUAAUAGGACGAAACGGCCGUCCAGUGG